rnacentral:tRNA from 1 species
GCGCCAGUAGUCUAACCUGGCUAUGAUAUCAGCCUCCCACGCUGAAGAUCCGGGUUCAAAUCCCGGCUGGCGCA